rnacentral:rRNA from 1 species
AGAGAGAGACAUGCGCGCAUAUCAAUAAGCGGAGGAAAAGAAACUAACUAGGAUUCCCUCAGUAACGGCGAGUGAAGCGGGAAGAGCUCAAAUUUGAAAUCUUCAAGGUUCUACCUUGACGAAUUGUAGUUUAUAGAAGUGUUUUCUGUUAGUGGAGUGGCAAAAGUUCUUUGGAAUAGGACAUCAUAGAGGGUGAGAAUCCCGUAUUUGGUCAUUCCUUCUAGCUUUGUGAUACACUUUCAAAGAGUCGGAUUGUUUGGGAAUGCAGUCCAAAAUGGGUGGUAAAUUUCAUCUAAAGCUAAAUAUUGGCGAGAGACCGAUAGCGAACAAGUACCGUGAGGGAAAGAUGAAAAGAACUUUGAAAAGAGAGUUAAACAGUACGUGAAAUUGUCAAAAGGGAAGCGUUUGACACCAGUGUUGUUUUUCCGAAAAUCAAUUACAAAUGGAUUCAUGUUUUAGGUAGUUAUGACUUCAUCGGCUUGCUUCUUUCUUUACGAAACUUUCUUAAUGCACUUUUCGGUUAACAAGUCAACAUCAAUUUCUUUUGUUGUAAAAGGGUAUGAGGAAGGUGGCUUUCUUUUCGGAGAAAGUGUUUAUAGCCUUGUGCCUCUGCAAUCGGAGAGAUUGAGGUCUGCAGCGUAGAUCCUUCGGGGUUAGAUACAUUUGUGCUAAGUUAUAGCCUUUCAUAGACAACUUGUUGACUAUGAUCAGUCAUGUAGCUUACUCGCUUAUGCUAUUUUACCUACGCUUAGGAUGUUGACAGCAGUAUAGACUGU